rnacentral:rRNA from 1 species
UACAGAGGGUGCAAGCGUUGUUCGGAAUCAUUGGGCGUAAAGGGCGUGUAGGCGGUCUGUUAAGUCAUGUGUGAAAUCCCUCGGCUCAACCGGGGAACGACGCAUGAAACUGACAGCUAGAGUACCAAAGAGGGGGGUGGAAUUCCCGGUGUAGCGGUGGAAAUGCGUAGAUAUCGGGAGGAACACCGGUGGCGAAGGCGGCCCCCUGGUUGGAGUACUGACGCUGAGACGCGAAAGCGUCGGGGAG